UUAACACCUGCCCGCUUAACCCGGAAGCCACCAGCACCCAUGUGUCGGAGGAAACACUGUUCAACUGACGACCGAAGUCAGCCUGCAGGCGCCCGCCCCGCCACAAGGAGUCUCUAAAGCGUGAUGAGCCAAGUAAAGCCCCCCCUACCAAACCCUCUCCCAACCCGGAUGACACUGGGGCAAUUGUGCGCCACCCUAUGGGAUUCCCGAUCGAACCCGGAUUACACAGCUUCUCUCAGUUGCACCUGACUGAAGGCAUCAUUUCAGGGUCUGAGGGACAACUACGACACCGUCCUCACAUCCAAGAACCAGGUCUGGAUCCAAAAUGAUGCUUUGACUUCAACUCAAGCUAAGCUACAGAAAAUGAACAGCUAUGUGGCUGUGGUUAAGGACCAACUGGAGAGAGACUACAUGUAACUUGUCGCAACCAAGGACCAGUCAGAGAGGCAACACAGGAAUCUUGCUGCUUCUCAUAACCAAUUAGAAAGAGAGUAAGAAGGCCUACUGACAUCCAACAACCAAUUGUACAUUUUUUAAAAACUACAUAGACCUGACAGCAUCUAAAAACCAACAGUAUCUAAAAACCUACUACAGAGAGAUAAAAGAUCCCACAUGAACCAGGGAACGGUCACAGAGACAACCCCUGAACAUCAGUGCAGCUUAACGCCUCGAUCACACCAACGCGUCAUUGCAUUUUGGUACACCAGAAGUACAUUCAUUUCCAAUGGAAUGCUACUUUUGCCUUCCAGCAUUGCAGAGGCAGUUGCAGUGCGUUCUGUGUGGUGCAUACGUUGGAAUUAUCAAACUGUAUGCCUCGAUGGCUCGGCAGAAAUGGUAGCGGAAGGUAAAUGUUGAACUUUUGUUGCAAACAUAUCCAGAUGAUGCGGCAUAACAUUUUGCACAAAGACACUGUUGGUGUGAUCAAAGCGUUAUGACCAGUUGAGGUGAGUGCAUGUGAGGGUCGCAGAGACUAAAAACCAACUUCAGUUAGAUCUCAUAAGUCUCUUUGAAACUGAGGUUUUGAACAGAGACUUUGUUGUCACGGUGAGGGAAAGGAAUUCCCUUCAGAAGAUGCCUACAGAGCUGGUCAACUUCCUGCCUGUGGACCGACACUGUCCACUCAGAGACCAGAUCACCCAAGGGCUGGAAGAUUUUCUCUUCCGGGUGUUACUUCUUCUCCACUGAGGAGGAGCUGGAGCAGCGGUCGAGUUGACUGUUCAACAGGGCGGAGACCUGGUGGUCAUUAGUCCAGAGGAACAGGUAGAAAGAGCCCAGUGCUGUGAAUGCGAGGGGAGACAGUGUGUGCCUCCACCAUCAGAGAGACCAACCCUUCUCGGAGCUGGAGAAGAGACCUGCAGCAUCAUGUCCGGAUGGAUCUGUGGGAGCUCAGCGCUCAUAUAGUCAGCAUUGCCAUAUAGACACACGCAUGCACAGAGCACAUUUAUAUGUAGCCUUAAAAUCCUCCAAUAAAAUAGCAUUAAUACACGAUAAGGUUUGAUUUCUUGUGGCAAUAGCAUAGCGGUGCUGGUCAUAGUAAGUGGUGAAAACGACAUGUACAUGAGAGGAUAUUUAUUAGAUAUUCUGGGGGAAAUGAUCUAAUAGGUCACUAUACUGUUUUGAAUCUGCAAUACUGUCUCAUUCGCGUUCUUCAUGUAUAAAAUGAGUAGGCCUCUGACUACAGCAUCAUCUUCGUCUCCUCGCCAACACGUCCUAAAAAAUAAGUGCAGUGAUUGGUUACUGCUUGUUGUUGUUCUACUGCCAAGCUCUGCGUGCGAGACGAGGCGUAUUCAUUAGUUGAUUCAGUUGCAAAACGUUUUGUCUGUUGAUAAACGUUUUGCAACUAAAACUAGAGUUUAUAUUGGACCCCUCCCAGUUUCUGUUCCAUUUUUUCUUUUUGCUUCCGUUUGGUUCCGAGAGUAAACGGUUUCCGUUUUGCAACAGACAAAACGUUUUAGAACCGAACCUGACUAAUGAAUACACCCCAGCUGUGUUGACAACACUGACCAUCGUCGAACAACGAAGGUGCAUUGGGAAAGGAUAGCCAGCUAGCUUGUUAACAAUGGCAACCAUGCGUCGUCCAAGGUACUCUCUCCGAGACUCUCUGUACUGGGACGAGACUGAGUGCCUGACGUACUAUGGGAUGCUCUCUCUACACGAGAUGUUUGAAGUUGUCGGUUCUCAACUGACAGAGACAGACGUUGAGGUGCUGUCGUUCCUCUUGGAUGAGACCUAUCCGGCUGGAGGGCACCCCUUGGACCCAGCUGGCUGGACCAGCGAGCCCGGUGAGGAAGACCCUGAGGCCAGUAAAGGAGUCUCCCCCAGCCCAGUGCUCCUGGAGGCCUGGCGGCGGUUACAGCCCAAGGUUCCUGCUUUGGCCUGCCCUACCGCUGCCCGCCACAAGCCCAAGAGUGGGCUAGAACUGCUGCUGGAGCUGGAGAGACGUGGGUACCUCAGUGAGGGUAACCUGGAGCCCCUGUUGCAGCUGCUGCGAGUCCUGACGCGACACGACCUCCUGCCUUUGGUGUCCCGCAAGAAAAGGAGGACAGUAUCACCAGAACGUUUCAGAGUGGACUACGGGACAGAGGACAAAAGACAGGUGUGCACAUCUGGACUGACUGACCCCUGUGCACAGACAGAAUCACAUGACGAACACGCCACCCAGCAAUGGAGGGGGGGUGUUGACUCUGCCAGGCCAACGCCCGCCCCCCUACGGAAGAAGAGGGGUAAAGGCCGCCGCUGGACCAGCAAGCCCACUGCCCACAGGAGAAGAACGGGCAUCCCUGAAACUCCUCCCCCACCUAUAUCUGAGAAAGUGACCUGCGACAUUCGUCUGCGUGUGCGAGCAGAAUACUGGGAGCAUGAGUCGGCUCUGCGCGGCAGCGUCUCCUCGGACAAGCAGCAGCCCCUGGAGCGGCAGUUUGAGCUGUUCAGUCGUGCCACCUCCGUGCUGCGCGCCCGCGACCUGGGCUCCAUCAUCUGCGACAUCAAGUUCUCUGAGCUGGACAACCUGGAGGCCUUCUGGGGGGACUAUCUGAGUGGAGCGCUGCUCGAGGCCCUGAAGGGGGUGUUCAUCACAGACUCUCUGCGGAGGGCGGCGGGGAGUGAGGGGGUCCGGCUGCUGAUCAGUGUGGACCAGGAUGACUACGAGGAGGGUCGCAGACUGCUGCUGGACGCACAGGAACAACAGGCCGGCUGCUGGGGACGAGACAGGCAUCAGAGCCAUAUACACUACCUGGUCUCACGUUGUCAUACUCCCUAGACCCAACCUGAGAAAGCUGGUUAUGGACGUUCGGCUCUGACAGACAGACAGGCAGCUGUGCGAGGUCAUGAGCCCAAGGAUAGAGGAAUGAAAAGGAGAAUAAAAUAUGAAGAGGAACAUUUUUCUUUUUUCUCUCCUUUUUAAGUCUCUCAUGCUGAGAAUAGAGGAUACAGCCACUCCUAGGUCAGGGGAAUGAAUAGUCCCCAGGGAAAACAGACAAACUUGAAGUGAAGGCAAACUGGACUAAAAGACUUGACACACUGUUCUGGUUGGAAAUGAUAACACAAGUUGUACUGAGCCUAGAUGCCCUCACGGCACUGAGGAAGAGACUGCCUUUGUUACACACACACACACACACACACACACACACACACACACACACACACACACACACACACACACACACACACACACACACACCGAGACAAACUAAACUUCCACUGUAGCACACACACACACACAAACUACCACUGUAUCUAACAUACACACGAUGAACCAUCAGCGCUGCCUGUAAGACUCAUUGAAGCCAAGAGACAUUUCUUGCUAACAGUGACAGCCCAGAUACCAACUAGACUGUGCGCUAAUGCUGAGCAUCUCUGGUUAUGUUUGAGGAGCGUGUGAGAUGCCCUGCAAGGCGAACUUCACCCAUCUUAAUAUUAGUUUGUGUUUCCAUUGAAAUGUAUGAUUUUGAAAAGAUGAGCGAGACUGCAGCACUCAGACACUGAGGGAGAGAUGAUGGGGAAAUGACUAAAGAUUAUGUUUUGACCUUUUGGGAGAGAUUUAUAAAUAGAUAGCGAAGGGAAGACUACCUGAGGACAGUGUAGUGGACAAAUAGCUGGUCCUUCGAGAACUCCAGUCCAUACACACACCAUGAUCACAAGCCACUGGUAGUCCAAUCAUGCUAACCCAGGGCCUGAUAGCUGUGGUCAGUGGCCAUCUCAUCUCAGAUGCCAGUAGAUGAUAGGAGGGAUUACCUCUCAUCCUCAGCCAACCAUGGAGAACUCAUCACCACAAGUUGUUGAACAGCAGCUGGGAUCACACACUAGGCUGUGCUCACCCUGGCUUCCAGCAAGGCAAGGCCACUGCCUUUCCCAUUGGAAUUGAAGCACAGGACAGUGCUUCAGUCAAUAAAACUGGUGUAGAGGAGAUCAAAAUCAGAAGGAUACAUCCUAGUUCCACUCAGCCCUGACUUGUAGGCCCCACUAGUGGCUCACAGAGCGCUGUCUGUCUCUAGUCUAGUCACCCUGGUGGAACUAAUGCCUGAACUCCUCUGAGUGGGAUCAAUAACCCCCUCUGUCUCUCCACCACCACCAUGGGAGGAGAAAGAGUAAGGGGGAGAGGUAGGAGAAGGGGAAAGAGAGGAAGAGGGAGAAGGAUCCCCACCUCCAUCCCGCCUUUCAGCUCCUGGACAGCCGCCUCAUCCUCUGGAGGAUAAGUCCCCUGAUACAACCAGGCUGCCUGGUCUGCUACAGCACAGUGUCUGGUUCACACAGCCCUAUGGGACCGGGGAUGAGGACGAGGGAGGCACUCAGGAAAACCUUAGUAGUGUUUGCUUUUUCUGUGUUUUGAUAUAUGGAUUCGUUAGUGUAGCUUUGUAUUGUCCAUAAGAGAAAAUAACAAAAAUACUGUGUGUUCUAGUUCAUUAACUUAGGGUGAACUUUUGUUUAAGUAGCUGGAUAUUUUUAUUUAGGCACUGCAAAAGUGCUGUAUAUUAGUUUAAUAUAUCAGUGGAAAGUUGGAAUUAUUUCAAAUAAAAAUAAAUGAUUUAUCAAAGGUU